rnacentral:rRNA from 1 species
AUUGAACGCUGGCGGCGUGCUUAACACAUGCAAGUCGAACGAAGCACUUUUAUUUGAUUUCUUCGGAAUGAAGAUUUUAGUGACUGAGUGGCGGACGGGUGAGUAACGCGUGGGUAACCUGCCUCAUACAGGGGGAUAACAGUUGGAGAUGACUGCUAAUACCGCAUAAGACCACAGUACCGCAUGGUGCAGGGGUAAAACUCCGGUGGUAUGAGAUGGACCCGCGUCUGAUUAGGUAGUUGGUGGGGUAACGGCCUACCAAGCCGACGAUCAGUAGCCGACCUGAGAGGGUGACCGGCCACAUUGGGACUGAGACACGGCCCAA